GACGAACGCUGGCGGCGUGCUUAACACAUGCAAGUCGAACGGAGUGGCGAACGGGUGAGUAACACGUGGGUGAUCUGCCUUGCACUUCGGGAUACGCUUGGGAAACUGGGUCUAAUACCGGAUAGUGCAAGAUGAGCUCGCGGCCUAUCAGCUUGUUGGUGGGGUACUGGCCUACCAAGGCGUCGACGGGUAGCCGGCCUGAGAGGGUGUACGGCCACAUGGGGACUGAGAGACGGCCCAGACUCCGACGGGAGGCAGCAGUGGGGAAUAUUGCACAAUGGGCGGAAGGCUGAUGCAGCGACGCAGGGUGGGGGAGGAAGGCAUGCGGGUUGUAAACUCCUUUCGACAGGGACGCGGUACCUGUAUAAGAAGCACCGGAUAACUACGUGCCAGCAGCCGCGGUAAUUC
rnacentral:rRNA from 1 species